rnacentral:rRNA from 1 species
CGCGUAGGCGGUUUAUGCAGUCAGAUGUGAAAGCCUUCGGCUUAACCGGAGAAGUGCAUCGGAAACUGGAUAACUUGAGUGCAGAAGAGGGUAGUGGAACUCCAUGUGUAGCGGUGGAAUGCGUAGAUAUAUGGAAGAACACCAGUGGCGAAGGCGGCUACCUGGUCUGCAACUGACGCUGAGCUCGAAGCAUGGGUAGCGAACA